rnacentral:rRNA from 1 species
AGAACGAACGCUGGCGGCAUGCCUAAUACAUGCAAGUCGAACGAACUCUUCGGAGUUAGUGGCGCACGGGUGCGUAACGCGUGGGAAUCUGCCCUUGGGUUCGGAAUAACAGUUGGAAACGACUGCUAAUACCGGAUGAUGACGAAAGUCCAAAGAUUUAUCGCCCAGGGAUGAGCCCGCGUAGGAUUAGCUAGUUGGUGAGGUAAAGGCUCACCAAGGCGACGAUCCUUAGCUGGUCUGAGAGGAUGAUCAGCCACACUGGGACUGAGACACGGCCCAGACUCCUACGGGAGGCAGCAGUGGGGAAUAUUGGACAAGUGGGGCAACCCUGACUCCAGCAAUACCGCGUGUGUGAAGAAGGCCUU